GCCGUUGAAGGUGGCCUGUGAGGGUUGCUGGAGGUAUCAGAAGUGCGAAUGCUGACAUAAGUAACGAUAAUGCGGGUGAAAAACCCGCACGCCGGAAGACCAAGGGUUCCUGUCCAACGUUAAUCGGGGCAGGGUGAGUCGACCCCUAAGGCGAGGCCGAAAGGCGUAGUCGAUGGGAAACAGGUUAAUAUUCCUGUACUUGGUGUUACUGCGAAGGGGGGACGGAGAAGGCUAUGUUGGCCGGGCGACGGUUGUCCCGGUUUAAGCAUGUAGGCGGAUGUUCCAGGUAAAUCCGGAACGUUAUUAACGCUGAGGUGUGAUGACGAGGCACUACGGUGCUGAAGUGACAAAUGCCCUGCUUCCAGGAAAAGCCUCUAAGCAUCAGGUAACAUCAAAUCGUACCCCAAACCGACACAGGUGGUCAGGUAGAGAAUACCAAGGCGCUUGAGAGAACUCGGGUGAAGGAACUAGGCAAAAUGGUGCCGUAACUUCGGGAGAAGGCACGCUGAUGGUAAGUGAAGUGACUUGCUCAUGGAGCUGAAAUCAGUCGAAGAUACCAGCUGGCUGCAACUGUUUAUUAAAAACACAGCACUGUGCAAACACGAAAGUGGACGUAUACGGUGUGACGCCUGCCCGGUGCCGGAAGGUUAAUUGAUGGGGUUAUCCUC
rnacentral:rRNA from 1 species